rnacentral:sRNA from 1 species
GUGUCUCUGUUUACCUGCCAAAGGUCUGUUUACCUGACCUUUAUCUCAGCCUCUGGAAACAUGUUUCCUAAGUCUGUUAGUAGGCACGAGAAGCUGCCUUCUUCCUGUCCACUGCCAAGAGUAUCUGCCUUGCAAAAGGCUUUGGGCCAGAUCAUCACCUUGCAGAACCUGCUUCACUGGGAAAGAUGCCGGGCAGCCUUGGGGGAGCCGUAGGUGGGAGCAUCAGCAAAGGCCAUAGGAAAUGUUCUCUCAAGAAGGGCCACAGAGAAAAAGAAGAGCUUAGCUGCUUUCCAGACUGUCCUGGCUAUGAGGACCCGUGAGUCCCCAACUCUGCCAUCUAUCUUGUCAAGUUUAAUGAAGCCGCUUCCUAACAUCCUUACCUGCUGUUUGUAGAAAAGGCUACCGAAUCCCUCUCUCUACCAUGAACUUAGCUCUUGAUGUACUUUAACUGACGUAAAACAGUAACACAGAAGCACUGGAUGUGUGGUCAGGGGAAGAAGGCGGUCCGACUGUGAUGCCGGAAUUCAGAGAAUUAACCAGAGAGAUGGCCGUCCCCGGAGGGCCUGUGUUCUCUCGGUCCUAUCAUGUUGCACGGCCACCACCACUAGCAGUACUUCACACGUUCUUUGUAUCACCUGUGUUCAGAGGUAGAGCAGUGACUUCUGGCCACCAUGCAUGAAAAGCAACCGAAUCAAAAUCCAGACAGCAACAAUCUCCUGGGAGAUGUCCUGUCACAUGUUUUUGAAACAGUUUCACUCUCGAGCCUGUGCGCAUCCGAAGUCUCCCAGAUGCUGAGGUUCCAGACAUGUGUUACCACAUUCAGCUGAGUGUUAGAUUGUGUUGUUGUUCUGAGUUUCUAGGGACUCUUUAUCACAGAAGUGAUAGCUUGGUCAGGGAGGAUCGGACGGAACACGGUCCCAGAGAAGAAAGACCCAAUCCCAAGGCCGUGAGCACUCAACAAAGUGUAGGUUCCCUCGGCAUCCAUUUCUGUGACUUGCAAAAAUUCUAGGCCUUGGUCUCUGAAUGGGUGACUGGGCCUUAGAGUUGACAUUUCUGAAAGAUUAAACAUCUGUUGGCCCUCAAAACCCAUUUGUCUUGCACACUUAGCUUUUAUGGCAUCUUACUCCCAAGAGCAACAUGUUACAAGCCCUGUGGCAGGAGGGAGAAGAUAGGCCAUGCAUGUCCCUUCUCAUUCUGUGCUUCAUUGAAUAGGGAUUUUUAUGCCAGUAUGUCUACAUCACAACUGGGCUUAUGCAUGGUGUGUACAUGAACAGAUUCAUACAACUACACACACCCAGAUAUCCCAUGCACACUGGAAACCUUUCCUGGGUAGCUUUGCUCAGUAGAAGCUACAGAUGAGGGCAAAUACUGCGGAGGACCUCCCUGCAGGUGCUGGGAAUCCCCCUGCCUCCUACCCCAACCUCCAUGUUGGCCUAGGUAUGUGUGGAGAAGAAACUGCAUCUGUCUGGCUUGGUCAGGAAAGCAGAGGCCAUGUACUCUUCAGGCAAACAACAGAGUCCAUCAAAUAGAGCGAGAAGAUUCUCAAACCAGAAAUCUUCAGAGAGGGUCCAUUGGCCUCUAAACAGCAUCGUGCUGUCUGGAAAGAGAGAUCCCUUAGAGAUGAUCCCUCUCAGCCAGAGCUUUGCGGGACACAGCCAGCCUUUUUAUUCUCUCUAAUGACUACCGACACCACCUUUUCCAGAAAGGAAGCAGAAUCUGAGGAGACCAACGUAGACCAGUCAUGAGCUCCGGUGCCUUCAAGCUCAGGGAUUGGAUCAGUCUGAGGGUCUAAGGUUCCACCCACUUCCUCGCCGGCUGAGGGGAGGUCCAAUUCAGGUCUAGUCACUAAUGGCCUGCACACUGGAACCAGAAGCCUUUGGGGGGCAGGUGUGGGGGCAGGGGGGAUACGACUGCCAUUUCCUCUGAGCUCUCCCCUGGUCUCCCCUGAACAUAAUUCCUGAGCAGUGACCUCCAGCAGAGUGUGAGGUGACUUCCUUCCAAGCAAUGACAGAGGGGAACGACAGAGGAAUACCCAGGCUUUUUGGUUCUGGGGGUCACAACGCCCCCAAACAAUCUGCACGUGGCUCUCGAGAGCUCAAGGACCAGUUUAAGGUAGGUUUCAACCUCAAAUUCUAAGUAUGCCUGAUCUUCUGACCUUCCCUCCACCCCGCCCCCAGAAAAUUCCAAUCGUGGGGAAGAUAAUGAGGCCCCCAAGUUACUCCUAACAGGACCCAGGCUAGACGCCCACCCGGUUACACCCACCUGGCUCAGAGAUCUGAGGCAGGCGAGGCCCUGAAAGGCCGUGGUCUAUAGAAGCAGUUUUCUCUCCCAAGACAUCACGCCCUGUGGUACCCAUACACUGAUGCUGUCAUAGUAGAAACAUGGAACCCCCAAAUUCUCCAGAAAGAAGAAGAACGGGUGCCACCGCACCCUUUUUACCUUGAUUUCUCUAUCUGGGAAGUGGGCCCCAAGGCCUUCAACUGCCUUUAGGGAUAUCUGUGGGCUAACCAGUUUCUACAAAGCUCUUUGAGGUUCUGGGUGAGAGGCGGUAGAGUCGGCCAUCAGUUUGUUGUGGACCCUUAUGUUGUCUGGGUAUCAUGUCCUCCCUAGAACUCAUGUGGUCUCUUCCUGUAAGCUGCUGUGGGAGAGUUACCAGAAGGGAGGCUCCUUGUGACUUCACUGUGGUGCCUGCUGAGGUCCGAGGGCUCAGUUGCCCACCCAUCCAGGAAAGCCUAACAUUCAGGUAGAUUCAUCUGUUAAUAGGUUAUGGUCAGGCAGCCUUUGUCUACCUAGUCUGUCACUCACAAUGAACAGCAUGACUUACAGCUGGUGUGAGCGCUACCAUCCCCUCCAUGGCCCCGAAGCUGCUUUUUUUUUUUUUCUGUUUGCUUUGCUGAUUGUGAAUACUUCCUUCAGAAGAGGAAAAUGCUGGCUGUGCCCUUUUGGGUGUGGAGGUGCCUGGAAACGCUGGGCUGUGAAUAGGCAGAUGACGUGGCGUGGGCUUGCAAAGGUUCAGGAUGUGUAAUGAGUGACACGCUGCCCUGGAGGCAGUCCUGUUAGCAUGUGUGUCGGAAAUGGCGAUUAACCCCGAGAGCCUAAUUCUGCCCUUCCUCCCCCUCCUUCUUCCUUUCAUUCAGUAAACAUUUAAAAGUGGUGCUGUGUCAGGCACUGUUCCAGGGUCUGGAAAGGACCAAGAGGAAGGGAAAGAUCUCGGCUAGAGUCUCAAGCAGGCAGCAGGCCCUUUUGAAGAUCAUGGACCCCACUGUGAAGAUGGUUUUCAGUGCAGUCAACAUAGUGAUCCUGAGAAUCCAGGCCUGUGGAUACUUGCAGGGAAGUUGAAGUUCAGUGAACUGGUGAAUGAACGCCGUGUUGGAAUCCAGGAAAGCUGGGGAAGAAACAGAGGUAACCUCGGUUAAGCCCAAGGUUUCCCUUAGCCACCCUUCCACUCAAGGAAAAGUGGCUCCUACUUGGUGACGGUACCUUCUUGAGAGACACAAAGAUGAUUAAUUAAUGGAAAUUAACUUUAUGAAUAAUAAAUACUCAGUCGGAUGAAGUAGCAUUUCCAUCUGUCAGAUCUUCUGCUGUAGCCAUUUAACUACAGCUGGAGCGCCAGGAAAACCAUCAACAGAAAAAAAAAACCCACAUCAUGUUGCGUUCCGUUUAAAGUUGUAUCAAAGGCUCACUAAGCAAGUGGAGGCAUGAAAAGCAGCCAAACCCAGAAAUGUGGCCUUGAAGCCCUGCCUCACCUGCUGUCCCACAUGCAGCUGGUGGCUCACUCUGAACUCUGCACUGGUCUAUUGUCAGUCAAAUCCGAACAUGUCAAAAUGAGUCUUUCCAUUUACAUUCUACUCACAAGGAAAUGAUGGGCGUCCUUUUUACUGUGCAAACAGCAUGCAUGUUUUCUCGGUACCUCAGUAGCAUAGCCUCCGGGUGUAGACAAGCUACAGUCAGUCAUGUUUGUUGUAGAGUGACAGACACUGUGGAGUUGGUGUAUACUCUGGGGAAGGCUCUCUUCUGCUCCUCAAGGGGGAUCAACACAUUAUGUCAGACCCUACAGUGGCCUUGAAGCUUCCUUUCAGUCUCCUUGCCUUUCCGCAGUGCGUGUGGAAGAGGCACACGAUCUGUAGUUUCAUCGUGUGAACGUGAGACAAGGGAAUUGUGAAGGUUCUUCUCUCUCAUCUUGAAAGGUCGUCUCAGUGUUCUGCCUUCCACGCCUGCUGUUUAAGUUCAUACUCACCAGUACUAGGUGGUCUCACUGGUUCUGGACAACUGGAAAGAUCAGUGAAAUAAAAUAGGAAGUAUUUUGUAACUGAGUGAAAAAAAAA